AUACCAAAAGUGUCACGCCCCGGAUUACACUUUCCCCGAGCGCGCUGACAAAUCCGCCGUAUACAAAGGAAUUUCCCCUGUAUACGAAGCGAUAGCUGUACCUGUAAAUCAAACACUACUACGAACAGUAGUAGGGAGCUGCUAGAGAAAACAGAAGCUAAACCAACUGAGUUUCAUAUACAUAGUCCAAAUCCAAAAUACAAAGCUACUCGCACUGGCGAGUUAGGUCCACUAUGUACAUAAACU
rnacentral:lncRNA from 1 species